rnacentral:rRNA from 1 species
GAUGAACGCUGGCGGCGUGCCUAAUACAUGCAAGUAGAACGCUGAAGGAGGAGCUUGCUCUUCUGGAUGAGUUGCGAACGGGUGAGUAACGCGUAGGUAACCUGCCUGGUAGCGGGGGAUAACUAUUGGAAACGAUAGCUAAUACCGCAUGACAACAGUUAUUGCAUGAUAACUGUUUAAAAGGGGCAACUGCUCCACUACUAGAUGGACCUGCGUUGUAUUAGUUAGUUGGUGAGGUAACGGCUCACCAAGGCGACGAUACAUAGCCGACCUGAGAGGGUGAUCGGCCAAACUGGGACUGGGAACCGGCCCAGACUCCUACGGGAGGGAGCAGGAGGGAAACUUCGGCAAUGGACGGAAGUCUGACCGGGGAAAGCCGCGGGAGGGAAGAAGGGUUUCGGAUCGUAAAGAUCGGUUGUAAGGGAAGAAAGAGUGUGAGAGUGGAAAGUUCACACUGUGACGGUACCUAACCAGAAAGGGACGGCUAACUACGUG